rnacentral:misc_RNA from 1 species
UUUCCGUAGGUGAACCUGCGGAAGGAUCAUUGUCGAAGCCUGCCCAGCAGAACGACCCGCGAACUUGUAUAAACAACCGGGGGCAGGGGCGAUCUCGCCCCGUGCCCUCGAACGGCAGGGAGACACUCGUGCCUUCUUGUCGAACAACGAGCCCCGGCGCGGUCUGCGCCAAGGAACUUCAAUUAAAGAGUGCCUCCGGUCGCCUCGGAAACGAUGCGCAUGUCGGAGGCGAAUCUUGUACAAAACCAUAACGACUCUCGGCAACGGAUAUCUCGGCUCUC